GACAGAGGUGCCAAGCGUUAGGCGGAAUCACUGGGCUUAAAGCGUGUGUAGGCGGAUGUCUAAGUACCUUGUGAAAUCCCACGGCUCGACCGUGGAACUGCUUGGUAUACUGGAUGUCUUGAGCCAUCUAGGGGCUACCGGAACAAAUGGUGGAGCGGUGAAAUGCGUAGAUAUCAUUUGGAACGCCAAUGGUGAAAACAGGUAGCUGGGGAUGUGCUGACGCUGAGACACGAAAGCCAGGGGAGCAAACGGG
rnacentral:rRNA from 1 species